rnacentral:lncRNA from 1 species
GCAGAAUCAAUACUGAGGCCAGCUAGUGGGAGCCCACACAGACAGCAAGAAGGGAGCCCAGGCAAGCCUGGCAGGGCCCAUCCGACCAGAGGAGCCUUUUCCCUUAGGGAAGGCUUGGGCAGCCAGAUUGUCUCAGAUAAUGAUGGUCUUGGCAAGCAAAGGACAGCAAAUGCGUGGAUGUUGAGCAGGGCCACAGGUGACUCGCCACACACCCACCACAGCAGUGGAGACACAGCAUGCUCUGUCUGAACCCUCCCACUCCCAGUGGCCAUUCAAAACAGUCCCUUUUCUUCUUGUCCCCAACACCCUCAUGGUGUCAUUUCCCAGAGGCCGUCUUCUCACCUGCAGAUUUUGCCCACAGGCCUCGGGAAAAUUCUGCCCACCUGCCACACAG